UACGUAGGGUGCAAGCGUUAUCCGGAAUUAUUGGGCGUAAAGAGCUCGUAGGCGGUUUGUCGCGUCUGCCGUGAAAGUCCGGGGCUCAACUCCGGAUCUGCGGUGGGUACGGGCAGACUAGAGUGCAGUGGGGGAGACUGGAAUUCCUGGUGUAGCGGUGAAAUGCGCAGAUAUCAGGAGGAACACCGAUGGCGAAGGCAGGUCUCUGGGCUGUAACUGACGCUGAGGAGCGAAAGCGUGGGGAGCGAACAGG
rnacentral:rRNA from 1 species